GCCUUCAUGGUGUAGUGGUCAGCACACUCGGCGCGUAACCGAAAGGUCUGUGGUUCGAUUCCCAGCGAAGGAG
rnacentral:tRNA from 1 species